rnacentral:rRNA from 1 species
UAGUCAUAUGCUUGUCUCAAAGAUUAAGCCAUGCAUGUCUAAGUAUAAGCAAUUAUACCGCGAAACUGCGAAUGGCUCAUUAUAUAAGUUAUCGUUUAUUUGAUAGCACAUUACUACAUGGAUAACUGUGGUAAUUCUAGAGCUAAUACAUGCUAAAAAUCCCGACUUCGGAAGGGAUGUAUUUAUUAGAUUAAAAGCCAACGCCCUUCGGGGCUUCGUGGUGAUUCAUGAUAACUUUUCGAAUCGCAUGGCCUUGCGCCGGCGAUGGUUCAUUCAAA